rnacentral:rRNA from 1 species
AGUGGCGGACGGGUGAGUAACGCGUGAGAAUCUGCCUUGGGGUCGGGGACAACCACUGGAAACGGUGGCUAAUACCGGAUAAGCCGAUUGGUGAAAGAUUUAUUGCCCGAAGAGGAGCUCGCGUCUGAUUAGCUAGUUGGUGAGGUAAGAGCUCACCAAGGCAGCGAUCAGUAGCUGGUCUGAGAGGACGAUCAGCCACACUGGGACUGAGACACGGCCCACACUCCUACGGGAGGCAGCAGUGGGGAAUUUUCCGCAAUGGGCGAAAGCCUGACGGAGCAAGACCGCGUGAGGGAGGAAGGCUCUUGGGUUGUAAACCUCUUUUCUCAGGGAAGAAGCUCUGACGGUACCUGAGGAAUCAGCCUCGGCUAACUCCGUGCCAGCAGCCGCGGUAAUACGGAGGAGGCAAGCGUUAUCCGGAAUUAUUGGGCGUAAAGCGUCCGCAGGUGGCGAUUCAAGUCUGCUGUCAAAGCACGGGGCUUAACUCCGUAAAGGCAGUGGAAACUGAAUAGCUAGAGUGCCGUAGGGGUAGAGGGAAUUCCCGGUGUAGCGGUGAAAUGCGUAGAGAUCGGGAAGAACAUCGGUGGCGAAAGCGCUCUACUGGACGGCAACUGACACUCAGGGACGAAAGCUAGGGGAGCGAAUGGGAUUAGAUACCCC